UAUAAACUCUUCAUUUCCCAGUGCUC
rnacentral:piRNA from 1 species